CUGGGGUGUGGACACUCAUUCCUCCAGUGGCCAUAUUGGCCACAGUUGAAACAAGUGUUCCUGUCUAUUCCUCCUUGGUUACCCCUAUAACCCUGAUUUCCCUGUCUCCAUCCCCUUGCCCCUCUUUGACCACCCCUUCCGCGGGCUUUAUGUGCUCCAUCCCAUCCUUGCUCUCAGCCUGUGUAGCUGGACAUAUGUUGCAAUCCCUGAGCAUAAUAAGCAACCUUACUUUCCUAAACCUUUUCUUAAUUCAAAACAACCUGCAUUUUCCUUUUCUAUAACCUUGGUAAGAAAAUCUGAGCUAUCCAAAUUGGCCCAGUCUGAUCAAUUGUUUCACAAGCAAAGAAUACUGUGGCAACAUAUUACCAAGGCAUGACUGUAUUUUAAAGAGAUCUAUAUCAUCUCCAGACAUCAAACCUGCCUCAUCCUUCCAACACUUGUAAAAUUUCUUUACAAAAAUCAUAUUACCAAUCUCUUCCUUUGCAUCCUGCUUAUAUGCCAAAGCAGUGAAUAUAGACUGCUUAUUCUUCCAUAAUCCCAACAUUUCAGCUUCCACCUUGUUCCAAAUUUUAGCACAUCUUACUGAAGUACUAAGCUGAUAAUCACCAAUUCAUUUCAAACCAUAUAACUCAUACUCAGCAUCCAAUAUAAUAUUACACGUCAUCUCACAAAGCAAUAUCUUUGUAGAAACACAUAAUGGGUACCCAGCAGAUAUGCCAAUACAGAAAUCACAUUUAUGGGCACACAACUACACACUCUGUCUCCCUCCUAGGAAACACGGAUAGACACAAUAUAAAAGCAAUCUUAAACUAACACCUCCAAAUCUCCAACUAUUCUUGGCCAAAACGCUAG